GCUCAGGAUGAACGCUAGCUACAGGCUUAACACAUGCAAGUCGAGGGGUAGCAGGGUAGCAAUACCGCUGACGACCGGCGCACGGGUGAGUAACACGUAUCCAACCUUCCCAUAACUCGGGGAUAGCCUUUCGAAAGAAAGAUUAAUACCCGAUAGUACUUUUUCAAGGCAUCUUGAGAAAGUUAAAGAUUUAUUGGUUAUGGAUGGGGAUGCGUUCCAUUAGAUAGUUGGUGAGGUAACGGCUCACCAAGUCUUCGAUGGAUAGGGGUUCUGAGAGGAAAGUCCCCCACAUUGGUACUGAGACACGGACCAAACUCCUACGGGAGGCAGCAGUGAGGAAUAUUGGUCAAUGGGCGAGAGCCUGAACCAGCCAAGU
rnacentral:rRNA from 1 species